GCCCACAUAGCUCAGUCGGUAGAGCACAUUCUUGGUAAGAAUGAGGUCAUCGGUUCAAGUCCGAUUGUGGGCU
rnacentral:tRNA from 2 species